rnacentral:rRNA from 1 species
AGAGUUUGAUCAUGGCCAAGGAUUAACAAGGUAAGGCUGCUUAGGUACUAGAGUUUGAUCAUGGUUUAGUCAUAUAGUGGUAGAUGGGUGAGUAGCGUGUGAGGAUUUGCCUACAGGACUGGGACAACGGUUGGAAACGGAUGCUAAAACCGGAUGUGCCGAGAGGUGAAAUAUGUGUAGCCUGUAGAUGAGCUCGCGUCUGAUUAGCUAGUUGGUGAGGUAAGGGCUCACCAAGGCGACGAUCAGUAGCUGGUCUGAGAGGACGAUCAGCCACACUGGGACUGAGACACGGCCCAGACUCCUACGGGAGGCAGCAGUGGGGAAUUUUCCGCAAUGGGCGAAAGCCUGACGGAGCAAUACCGCGUGAGGGAGGAAGGUCUGUGGAUUGUAAACCUCUUUUGAUAGGGAAGAAGUUCUGACGGUACCUAUCGAAUCAGCAUCGGCUAACUCCGUGCCAGCAGCCGCGGUAAUACGGAGGAUGCAAGCGUUAUCCGGAUUUAUUGGGCGUAAAGCGUCCGUAGGUGGUUAUUCAAGUCUAUUGUCAAAGCCUGGGGCUUAACCCUGGAGAGGCGGUGGAAACUGAAUAACUAGAGUGCGGUAGGGGCAGAGGGAAUUCCCAGUGUAGCGGUGAAAUGCGUAGAUAUUGGGAAGAAC